rnacentral:rRNA from 1 species
UGAACGCUGGCGGCGUGCUUAACACAUGCAAGUCGAACGAAGCACUUUAUUACGAUUUCUUCGGAAUGACGAUUUAGUGACUGAGUGGCGGACGGGUGAGUAACGCGUGGGUAACCUGCCCUAUACAGGGGGAUAACAGUUAGAAAUGACUGCUAAUACCGCAUAAGCGCACAGGAUUGCAUGAUCUGGUGUGAAAAACUCCGGUGGUAUAAGAUGGACCCGCGUCUGAUUAGCCAGUUGGCGGGGUAACGGCCCACCAAAGCGACGAUCAGUAGCCGACCUGAGAGGGUGACCGGCCACAUUGGGACUGAGACACGGCCCAAACUCCUACGGGAGGCAGCAGUGGGGAAUAUUGCACAAUGGGCGAAAGCCUGAUGCAGCGACGCCGCGUGAGCGAAGAAGUAUUUCGGUAUGUAAAGCUCUAUCAGCAGGGAAGAUAAUGACGGUACCUGACUAAGAAGCACCGGCUAAAUACGUG